rnacentral:rRNA from 1 species
AGAGCGAAUGGUGGAUGCCUUGACUGGUAAAGGCGAUGAAGGACGUACUAGACUGCGAUAAGCUACGGGGAGCUGUCAAGAAGCUUUGAUCCGUAGAUUUCCGAAUGGGGCAACCCAAUGUAUAGAGAUAUACAUUACCUAUAUAGGAGCGAACGAGGGGAAUUGAAACAUCUUAGUACCCUCAGGAAAAGAAAUCAAUAGAGAUUGCGUCAGUAGCGGCGAGCGAAAGCGCAAGAGGGCAAACCCAGUGCUUGCACUGGGGGUUGUAGGACUGCAAUGUGCAAGAGGUGAGUUUAGCAGAACAUUCUGGAAAGUAUAGCCAUAGAGGGUGAUAGUCCCGUAUGCGAAAAACAAACCUUAGCUAGCAGUAUCCUGAGUAGGGCGGGACACGAGAAAUCCUGUCUGAAGCUGGGUCGACCACGAUCCAACCCUAAAUACUAAUACCAGAUCGAUAGUGCACAAGUACCGUGAGGGAAAGGUGAAAAGAACUGAGGUGAUCAGAGUGAAAUAGAACCUGAAACCAUUUGCUUACAAUCAUUCAGAGCACUAUGUAGCAAUACAGUGUGAUGGACUGCCUUUUGCAUAAUGAGCCUGCGAGUUGUGGUGUCUGGCAAGGUUAAGCAAACGCGAAGCCGUAGCGAAAGCGAGUCUGAAUAGGGCGCUUAGUCAGAUGCUGCAGACCCGAAACGAAGUGAUCUAUCCAUGAGCAAGUUGAAGCUAGUGUAAGAACUAGUGGAGGACUGAACCCAUAGGCGUUGAAAAGCCCCGGGAUGACUUGUGGAUAGGGGUGAAAGGCCAAUCAAACUUCGUGAUAGCUGGUUCUCUCCGAAAUAUAUUUAGGUAUAGCGUUGUGUCGUAAUAUAAGGGGGUAGAGCACUGAAUGGGCUAGGGCAUACACCAAUGUACCAAACCCUAUCAAACUCCGAAUACCUUAUAUGUAAUCACAGCAGUCAGGCGGCGAGUGAUAAAAUCCGUCGUCAAGAGGGAAACAACCCAGACUACCAGCUAAGGUCCCUAAAUCUUACUUAAGUGGAAAACGAUGUGAAGUUACUUAAACAACCAGGAGGUUGGCUUAGAAGCAGCCAUCCUUUAAAGAAAGCGUAAUAGCUCACUGGUCUAGUGAUUUUGCGCGGAAAAUAUAACGGGGCUAAAGUAAGUACCGAAGCUGUAGACUUGACUUUGUCAAGUGGUAGGAGAGCGUUCUAUUUGCGUCGAAGGUAUACCGGUAAGGAGUGCUGGAGCGAAUAGAAGUGAGCAUGCAGGCAUGAGUAGCGAUAAUUAAUGUGAGAAUCAUUAACGCCGUAAACCCAAGGUUUCCUACGCGAUGCUCGUCAUCGUAGGGUUAGUCGGGUCCUAAGUCGAGUCCGAAAGGGGUAGACGAUGGCAAAUUGGUUAAUAUUCCAAUACCAACAUUAGUGCGCGAUGGAAGGACGCUUAGGGCUAAGGGGGCUAGCGGAUGGAAGUGCUAGUCUAAGGUCGUAGGUGCUUAUACAGGCAAAUCCGUAUAAGAAUACACCGAGAACUGAAAGGCUUUUUGAAGUCUUCGGAUGGAUAGAAGAACCCCUGAUGCCGUCGAGCCAAGAAAAGUUUCUAAGUUUAGCUAAUGUUGCCCGUACCGUAAACCGACACAGGUGGGUGGGAUGAGUAUUCUAAGGCGCGUGGAAGAACUCUCUUUAAGGAACUCUGCAAAAUAGCACCGUAUCUUCGGUAUAAGGUGUGGUUCGCUUCGUAUUAGGAUUUACUCCGAAAGCGAAGAAACUUACAACAAAGAGUCCCUCCCGACUGUUUACCAAAAACACAGCACUCUGCUAACUCGUAAGAGGAUGUAUAGGGUGUGACGCCUGCCCGGUGCUCGAAGGUUAAUUGAUGGGGUUAGCAUUAGCGAAGCUCUUGAUCGAAGCCCGAGUAAACGGCGGCCGUAACUAUAACGGUCCUAAGGUAGCGAAAUUCCUUGUCGGUUAAAUACCGACCUGCAUGAAUGGCGUAACGAGAUGGGAGCUGUCUCAAAGAGGGAUCCAGUGAAAUUGUAGUGGAGGUGAAAAUUCCUCCUACCCGCGGCAAGACGGAAAGACCCCGUGGACCUUUACUACAGCUUGACACUGCUAUUUGGAUAAGAAUGUGCAGGAUAGGUGGGAGGCUUUGAGUAUAUGACGCCAGUUGUAUAUGAGCCAUUGUUGAGAUACCACUCUUUCUUAUUUGGGUAGCUAACCAGCUUGAGUUAUCCUCAAGUGGGACAAUGUCUGGUGGGUAGUUUGACUGGGGCGGUCGCCUCCCAAAUAAUAACGGAGGCUUACAAAGGUUGGCUCAGAACGGUUGGAAAUCGUUCGUAGAGUAUAAAGGUAUAAGCCAGCUUAACUGCAAGACAUACAAGUCAAGCAGAGACGAAAGUCGGUCUUAGUGAUCCGGUGGUUCUGUGUGGAAGGGCCAUCGCUCAAAGGAUAAAAGGUACCCCGGGGAUAACAGGCUGAUCUCCCCCAAGAGCUCACAUCGACGGGGAGGUUUGGCACCUCGAUGUCGGCUCAUCGCAUCCUGGGGCUGGAGCAGGUCCCAAGGGUAUGGCUGUUCGCCAUUUAAAGCGGUACGCGAGCUGGGUUCAGAACGUCGUGAGACAGUUCGGUCCCUAUCUGCCGUGGGCGUAAGAAGAUUGAAGAGAUUUGACCCUAGUACGAGAGGACCGGGUUGAACAAACCACUGGUGUAGCUGUUGUUCUGCCAAGAGCAUCGCAGCGUAGCUAAGUUUGGAAAGGAUAAACGCUGAAAGCAUCUAAGCGUGAAGCCAACUCUAAGAUGAAUCUUCUCUAAGCUCUCUAGAAGACUACUAGUUUGAUAGGCUGGGUGUGUAAUGGAUGAAAGUCCUUUAGCUGACCAGUACUAAUAGAGCGUUUGGCUUAUCU